AUUGAACGCUGGCGGCAGGCCUAACACAUGCAAGUCGAACGAGUGGCGGACGGGUGAGUAAUGUCUGGGAAACUGCCUGAUGGAGGGGGAUAACUACUGGAAACGGUAUCUAAUACCGCAUACCAUCAGAUGUGCCCAGAUGGGAUUAGCUGGUGGGUGGGGAAACGGCUAACCAAGGCGACGAUCCCUAGCUGGUCUGAGAGGAUGACAAGCAACACUGGAACUGGGACACGGUCCAGACUCCUACGGGAGGCAGAAGGGGGGAAGAUGGCGCAAUGGGCGCAAGGCGGAUGCAGCCAUGCCGCGUGGAUGAAGAGGGACUUGGGGUUGUAAAGGACUUUAAGCGGGGAGGCGGUGCCCGCAGAAGAAGCACCGGCUAACUCCGUGCAAGCAGCCGCGGUAAUAC
rnacentral:rRNA from 1 species